UCGGAGCAGGUCCGGAGCAAUCCCAGAUGAAGACCACAGAUCUCGAUCGAGAGAUGUGGACUAUGGGAAGAGGAGACGGCUACCAUCAGAGUGACAGAGUCACGCUUUUCAUUCUUCCGUGGCAUGUCAUACAAGACCUCAUAUUCUCUAUAUCUUACUGUAUUGCUCUUGGGUUGUUACAAUGCUUCUACCUAUCGCUUUUCCUGGUUACUGUGGCCUAAAUGCAGAGUGGUUUCUUGAGGGAAAAGUAAGUUCUCAUAUUUGUAGAAGGGAAGCAUAGAUUCUCUAUUCUUUCGUACUGCAUUCUAUAAACGUUACUGCCAACACUUAUUUGUUUGUUAAAAAAUGAUGAGUGACUUUGAGUUGCAUGCCAAUGGGGAUAUUCUAUCUAGGGUUGGACUCUUGAUAUCCUUGCCGAGUAUCCCAAUGGCUUUAUAUUUAUUCUACUGAAUCUAUUUCUGAGACAAUGGUUUUGGGGCUUCUGGUCACAUGUUACAAAGCCUACUCUAAUUAUAUCAUAGUUUGAAUUAGUUGUCCGUAUUGCUUUCUACACCUGUGUCUUCUCGUAGUUGUUGAUUAUAGAAUAUGGUUUUUUAUAGUUGAUUAUAGAAUAUGGUUUUUUUUCCAUGCCAACCCAUUAUUUUUAUUGGGAUUGUAUUUAAAGGGUGCUCGUAAGUCUGAGUCAGUGCAUGACUUUAAUAUUUAAACCGAUGCAUGUGAUAGCUGUGUCCUUCUGCCUUCUGGGUCCUUUGUAUCACUUCAAAUGACAUUUAGAUUUGAAUUUGGAAUUAGAAUUCAUCUGUCUUUUAUUAGAAUAGUUGAGUCUUACUGAUGGUGCUGAUGAUGCUGACAUAUGAAGAAGUCAAGAUGGAGGAUGUUGUUCCUUCUGUGCGAACCACUGAUGGUCAACUAAUUAAUGAUUCUUAGUCUUAUCUUAGAAAAUGAAGUCCUACUUCAGGGGUUUCUCUCGGACUUGACAAUGUUUAAUAUGUGGUCUUUGUAUCUUCCCAUCAAAUUGACCUUCCUCAGAAGAAGCAACAGCUGAUAUGUAGCAUGCCUUUAUUAUUUUCUUUUCAAGUGAGUUUUAUUUGAUCAGCAAGUCAUACUAGCAAUGUUUCAAAUAUUGCUAGGGCAUCGUAACUAUUUAUUAAAGUCUAUGUUAUUCAUCCUCCCAUUUUGAAUUAUAUCCACAAUGUAUGUGUGGUGCUGCUUAUGCUUAUGGACUGGUGGAUUACUUGGAAUGUUAAAUUCUUUUAGGUUUUUUCGCUUGGAAUUGGGGGUAAGGAUAAGUGGAUAUGGUGGCCAAUUUUUGGAGUUGUUGGUCUAGUAAGUGGCUUCCAAUCUUCUCUUUCGUAUCUUAGUGAAUGUCAACUAAGAAUCUGAUUCUUAAAGCUUUUCUUGAAGUCGUGAGUAGUGUUUGUUUUUUGGUGCUUCUGUUUUUGUUUGAUUCGUUUGCUGGUUCAGUGGAUUGCUUGUUCACCUUUUUGAAUUUUUUUAUAUCUUUUUCUUGUCCUUCGGAUAAAAUCUUUUUGGUUUUACUCGAAAAGAAGAAAAAAAAUCACGAAGAAAAAUGAGAGAGAGAGAGAGAGAGAAGCUUUUCUUGAAGGCAUGGUUGGCUGCUUUCUUUUCUUGCUUCCCUCUUUCUUUUUCUUUCUACUGAUUGUUUGUGAUUGUUCUUUGAAGUUUCAAUUAGUUAUUUUAAUUUGAUUAGUUCUCUUGAAGAUCAAUAUACUUUUAAAUAUUAAAACAGCUAUUUGAACUUUUGUUUCUUCUUCGAAAACACUAUUUUAGCCAUAAAAGAACUAUCUUCCAAAUCAUUAUAUAUUUUAGAAGUUCCGUUAUUUUGGUGGUAACUAGUAUAAUAGAAAGUUUUACCUAAUUUCUAGUGUAUGAUAUUAUUUUAUUAUGGUUUAUCCUAGAAUGAAAAGUUCUCAUAUCUGGUGUUGUGAGUUUCAGCCGGGUACGGUAGUUUUAGUAAAUUCACAUGGCAAAUAAUGUAUUUGUGUUUUGUAGAAGUGUGAUUCCCUUAAACUUUUGUUAUGAAUGGGUGGAUUUGGACGUACUUGAGUUUGAUAUGCUAUCUGAUCAAAGAGAGCAAAACACCUUCCAGUUAAGGGCUUUACUUCCCUGUUAUGAAAUCUGGGCUGUUUAUCAUGUAGGACUUACAUGAGGUCCCCAUUCAUGGGUGAUUGUGAUUGAUUCAUUGAUUGUAGGAAUAUGGUACUAAAAUCAUGUAGUGCUCUUUGAGGAAAGUUUAGUGGCCUCUUUGGCUGGUAGGUUUUCUUUUUCCAAGUCUAUUGACAUGGGGGCUUUCUUUUUAUCACCAUAUUCAGGGAGUGGAGUAGCAACCAAGGAAGAUGUGUUUGUUGGGCUGCAUUCAUUCGCUUUCUCAAAUAUUGGCUUUGGUCUGUCAAGUGUGCAAACAAGCCUUGACAAUUUUGGCUUUCACUUUUUUGCCCCCUCGAGCGGCCCUUAAGAAUGUGUGAACUGCUCUCCUGGAAGAGAAUGCCUAGAAAUAGUUGAAGCCAUGAAAUUGUCAAAAAAUGGAAAGGAUUUUGUUUAAUAGGUUUAUAUACCAUUUUGUAAAGCAUCAUCUCAUGUUUUUGUAAAAUUGAGUUACAUGUAUUAGGUCCAUCACAUGUAAAGGCCUCUUUCAUUAUUUAUUUGACUAUUUGUGGCUCGCUGUGAGCUUGUAAGACUGUUGUACUGACUUUGAGGCACAAUUGUGUUUACAUUUGAUGCAGUGUAACUGAUUUAGGAUAGUCAGUGAUGAGCUUUUAGUAAUUUGUAACCUGGAAUUGUUUCACUUGUAAUUGAUUAUUGUAACAUGUGUAGAACUAGUUGUAGUUUCAACAUAAAAGAUAAAGGAACAUUGGAAGUGUGCCUUUUUUUUUAACCUUUAUUAUUAUUAUUGUCUAUGUAAGUUGUGAGGUUUACCUGCACAUGGGAGUCGUAAAUUGUGGACUUCUGCAUCAUUCUAUUGGGCUGGAACUGAGCGUUUUGGUUGUUUUGAGAAUGUUGCAGGUGACGGCAUGAUGCCACAUUCCAUGUACAUUUCCUCUGUCAUGCAGUAUGAAUUUGUUGUAAUCAGAUUUGAUUUUCAUUUGUACCGUUUCUUUCGAUGGAUUUUUAUUGAUAGAUAGAUCAUUGUCUCUGUUUUUGUAUACCAGAAAAGUGAUUAGGGAUGAAAGUUUUGUGGUUUAUGGAGAGGAUUUGAAAUGUUCUGCUCAAAUGUACAUUAGGUUUCCUGUCUGGGGAAUGAGAUUAUGAGUUUUAAGGAGGCAUAAUCUCAGAUACCCACCUGACUAUGUUGUUCUGAGGGUUUCUACUUGCUUAAUGUGGAAAGCUGCCUUUCCCCGCACUGGCAGCUGCAAUUUUUACUUAGCAUGGCAUGCUCUCUCGUGCAUUAUUCUUGGCUUUUGUAUUCUUUUACAAGAUCACUCGCUUCAUCCAGUUCUGCUUUGUGAAUCUUUAGUUUUGUCAUGUAAUUUAGGAGUUGGGUAUGACUGAUUCUUGUUAGUUCCAUGUAUAAAUAUUUCCAACUGCCUGUGUAGUGUACGCGUCUGUUCCAUCUAUCUGAUGACCAAUCCUCCAGUUUACUCUGCCACUUCAGGAAUCUUUUUUAAUUCCAAAAAUUUUAUCUCCAUAAUUUAUAGUUAUGUAUUUUAUCAGCCAAUCUGUGCUGUUACUGUUUCAGUUUCAGUUUCAGAAAGCUCAAGGCAAAUGCCAGCGUUGUGCACUGGCCCUUGAUUUGAUGAUGUUGAAAGAGUUUCUUGUGCAUUUUCUUUACUUUAUACACAACGUGGUUCCCGAUACUGAAUGUUCAUGUCAUAUUUAACAACUUGAAGUUCCCGGCCGGGCCGGUUAAAUGUUAAUGUCAGUCUAAUUACAAAAAUUAAUGUCGUAUUCAGAAUUCAAGAGUGCAAAGCUGAAAGCUCAGCAAGUUGGAGAAGGCAGCGGUAUAUAAUUCUGAAAGCCUUUAACUUUUAGCACUUACCGGCUACGGCGACGAAAUUCGUCCCGUUUAUAUGACACCGGAUGUAUGGAGGAAUAUCGAAUAUUUGAAAGAAACGCAAAGUUUAAUUGCCGUCUAUUAUUGUCCUCAAGGAUCUGUACUUAUCCUCGGAUACGAACCUAGGUUGUCAAUAUAUCCUUAUAGGAUCCCCCUAUAUGGAUCCGGAUCGGAUCCCCCGUGUUACAGUUAACGUAACUUGCAGCUGUUUCUCCGUUUGCUGAAUUGUUACUGUAAAAUAUCUCUGAGCCCCUUGUGCUUUACAUUAUUCACAAUUUAUUAAUAAGUAUUGUGAAACUUUUUGUAUUGUAAAAUUUCGUUCAGCCCCUUACACUCUAUAUUCUUUCAUUAAAACCCUCAGAGUAUGAAAUUCAUCCCCUAUAAUUUUUAAAUUCCCAAAAUACCCUCCAUGUAUAUAAAAUAUAAUAAUUAUUAAAUGGAUUAUAAUUAUAAUUAUUAUUUUAUUGUAAUUAAGGAUGGGCAAAUUAGGUUUCGAUUCGGGUUGUUCGGAUUUCGGUUUGGGUUUCAACCCAAUCGAGUUCAAAAUACGAACCCAAACCAAACUGAAUCGAAAUUAAAUCGGUUCGGUUUGGGUUAGUAAUUCUGAUCGAAAUUUCAGUUUGAGUUGAAAUCAGGUUAUAAUAGUUUGAUUGUCCAAACAUUCUGAAAUACUAACUAGGCAACCCAAGAGGGGGGGUGAAUUGAGAUUUUAAAAUUUAAGCUAAGCAAACCACUCAACAAUUUAAUCUAUUGCCUUAAUCAAAUUGAAAACAAUAAAUUCAAUCAUGCACAAUAUUAAAAGAGUAAGGGAAGAGAAAACAAACACAAUGAUUUUUACGUGGUUUGGCAAUCCCCGCCUACGUCCACGCCUCCAAGCGAUUCAAGCUCGAGGAUUUCACUAUCUAAGCCUUUCCAAGGCUUUAACGAUUACAAUUGACUUCGAGGUGUCAAUGAACAUUUACAACAAGAGAUUAUAUCUCCAAUCUCUUCACUCAAGUGUCUCACACACUCAAACGAAUUAGAUUGAGCUUAUUUAUAAUUGGAGCUGAAAACUAGCCGUUAUUGACUUUCUGCACACUGUCGGAUCGCCGCUAACUAGAUGUCGGAUCGUCUUUUGACUAGUCAAUAUGACUGUUGGGGCUGAUUUUUAAAUUGUCGGGUCGCCGUUAACUAUAUGUCGAAUCGCUGUUUAGGUCCAGAGGCUACUGGUUGAUAUCGGCGAGCCGUUUAUCACACAUGUCGGUUCGCCGUUUAGGUCCAGAGACUACCCUUCAGUUCUGGUUGAUAUCGGCGAGCCGUUUAUCAAAAUUGUCGGAUCGUCGUUUAGGUUCAGAGGCUAAUCUUCAAUUCUGUUAGAUGUCGGCGAGUCAUUAUCAAGAUGUCGGAUCGCCGUUUUCUACAGUAACUGCUACAGUGACAUAUUUUCUAAAAUUAUAAUUUAAUCCCAAAACUUUAUAAAAUUAUAUUACGACCCAAAAUGUUAUGAAACUUUACAAAUAGGUCCAAUUUUAGAAUUUCUAUGUAAUGCUUUGUUAAUCCCAAAACUUUCUGAAAUUAUGGUAUAGUCCAAAAUGCUAUGACACUUUUCAAAUAAGUCAUUCUCCAAAAUUUCAAGCAAUACUUGUUUAUUUCAAAGUUUUCAAAAUUCUUUCAAUUAAAUCAUAAACUUUGAAAAACAACCAAUUUCAUAAAAUCAUUUUUUCAUUAAAUAUGAAACAUUUAUAAUGUGAAAAUAAUGAUUUAUUUAAAAAGAAUAAAAACAAUCAAUUUCAUAAAAUCAUUUUUUUAUUAAAUAUAAAACCUUUAUAAUGUAAAAAUAAUGAUUUAUUUAAAAUGUAUAAAAAAUAAUUUGAGCUUAAAAGAUUUAUCAUUCUUAAUCUUGUUUGUUAUCAUAAAAAUCAACAUUAUAGAAACAUAUAUUUUAACACAUUCGUCAUUAACCAACCAAAAUUUUAAAUUCUCAAAUCUUAAAUCUUAAAUCAGAAUAAAAAUAAAAGUUCAAUUCUAUAUAUGCAAGAGUUUGGAGCACAUAUCAAGGCCAAUUGAAAUUGAUGUUAAGCAAAUAGGCAUAAUCUAGAAUGUAUUUAGGGGUGGCAAUAAAAUCCGCCCGGACCCAACCCAGACUCGGCUAAUCAGGUCCGGGCAAAACCCGGACCGCAUAUACAAAUAAUACGAGUCCGGUUAUUGUAAUUUAAAACCCAGAUACUUCCAAGUCCGGUUCCGGUUAUGGCACAAAAAACCCGGAACCCGGAUCCGUGCUGGGUUUUGAUAAGUUUAAAAAAAAAAUAAUAAAUAAAGAAAAUAUAAAUGUAAUACACCCAAAAUUGAAACUUACCCUAAUUUUCUAUCCUAUUUGUAUGCAAACACAAGCACUGCUGACGGCUGCCGCACCUCCAGCUCUCCAACACUCCAAGCUAAAGGCCACCACUCAACAUUCCAAGGAAACACAAGCUGCCGGCUGCAAAAAGCAAACACCCCCAGCAAACACUCCAAGCCAGCACUGAUUGCAAAAGCGUCUUAUACAUCCUGCAAAAUCAUCAUCUGAUUGCGUCUUAUACAUCCUGCAAAAUCAUCGGCUUAGAUCUUGACUCUUGAGUGCUUUAAGCCCCAUUUGAUAGCUCUCACGUGCUGUUCUAUGACUAUGGUUCUUUGUUUUUUUUUUUCCUUGCUUUUGGCUUUCUCUAGCAUGAAUCCUUUUCAAAUAAAAAAUCUGCAAAUCAAUCCAUUUUUUUCGUUCUAAUAGCACAAAUUUCUUCAUAAUUUGCAUUUCUCCUUAAAAAAAAUCUUUGAAAUUAAAUGUUGUGCAGUCUGCACUUCUUACACAUCUCUCAAGCAGCCAUUACCUAACCGAUCAAAACCAGCACGGCAAUAGCACCCACGACCAAUCAUCACCGAAUCCAGCAGCCACGAGCACCACCACCAGCAGCAAAGUAGCGAUUUGCGAACCCAGCAGCCACGCGAAAUCACCACAGCAGCAGCCUCCAACAAACUCGGCCAGCACACCACCACGAUGCAUGAAGCCACCUCAGCAGCAGCCAGCAGUAAACCCAGCACCAGCCACUCGAACCCACGCAGUGCAGAUCAUCGACUCACGUUUUUCAGGCUAUUCUUUUGGCAAAGAACGACAAACAUUGCUCCAUGGAUAUCAAACUUUUGCAUUUUAGGCUUUGCUGGUUUUGGAAUUGAUUUGCCGUAAAUGGAAUGGUUUGCAAGGUUGAUUUCAUUGGAAUCUUUAAUAACCACAGUAAACCAGUAAUUUAUCCGGGCAGAGAAAGUCCGGAUAAAAAACCCAUGCCCGAGACGUGCCGGGCCUGACCCAGACAGGAUGUGAAAAAAUGGGGCACAAUCCAAGUUCGGGCAGCUGUUUUAUUGAUCCGGUCUAGUCCCGGGCAGGGCCAAACCUGGACCGGACCCGGGUUUUUGCCAACACUACAAGUUCUCGCUGAAAUAGAUGCAGCCAUUCUUGUUAAAGACAAACUACAGUUGCUAUGCAGAGAGUUGCAACGUCAGAAUAAAAUUCUAAUGGAUAAGUGCAAACGGGUAUCAACAGAGGAAUAGAAGCUGAGAUUAGAUUUGUUUGCCAAGUCCCGAAAACCAAAUCCUUCCAAAAACAUGCAUUCAAUUAACAAUAACGAAUAAGGAGGCAACGAAAUGCAAACAUCACCGAAAAUGAAAUUCCAAACAUCACUAAAAAUAACAUCAUCGGAAUCGUAAACAUCACCGACAUUAACAUCACAUUGUGCGCCCAACGACUACGAACGAAGAAGGAGGCAGUGACUGGAUCUAAAGCGAAGGGCCCAAGAAGACUAGAUCUGAAACGAAGAAGGAGGCAACAUUUGAAUCUGAAACUGCAACGCCGAUGCACCUGAACAUAGUUGAAUUGACACCGGUGGUGUGUGUGAGUGAGAUUGUGAGUGUGCUAGGGUUGAGGUUGUGCUUGUCUCGAUGUGGAGUGCAAAGAAGAGAAAAAAGGAAAUAAGGGUUUUGAUUUUUUGGUGUUCUGACUUUUUUUUUUCAGCUAACCCGAUCGGGUCUCGAUUUUGAUUCGGGUUCAACCCGAACCGAAAUCCAAGCCGAACGGGUUGGAAAUUUGAAUCCAUUUGGAUUUUUAUACUUAACACAAACCAAACCAAAACCAAAAUAAAAUUUCGGGUUUCGUUCGGUUUAGGUUAACCCGAUCCAAACGCCCACCCUUAACUGUAAUUAUAAAUAUAAUUAUAAUUUUUAAAUGGAUUAUUAUAAUAAUUAUUAAUAACAAUAAUAAUAAAGUAUUAUAAUUAAUUAAUCUAUUAACAAUAAUUAAUAAUAAUUUUCUAGUUAUUGUUAAUAAUAAUAAUAAUAAUAAUUAACAAUAAUUAUUAUUAAUAAUUAAUUUUUGAAUAAUAAUAAUCACAAUAAUUAAAAUACAAAAUAAUAAUUACAAUAAAAAUUAAUUAAGGAUUUUUUAAUAGUAAUUUGUUACAAUUUAACUCAUUCCGAUUUUGAUUCUAAAACAAAGUAAAACAUAUAAAUAGUAAUAUAGCUCAUUGUAAUUACGAUUCUUGCAAUUCAAGUAAAUAAAUUAUUCUGAUUCUAAUUCCUCAUUUCGAUUCUAACUCAUUAUGUUUCCAACUAAUUUUGAUUAUUGUUUAGUGAAUGCACUAUAAAAUUGUAAACAUUUCAUUUUUUUCCCCAUUUCUUCUUCCCCACUCUCCCUCUCUUUCUCUAUGAUGAGUCUAAUGAUGGCUUCAAUUAUCGAUGAAGGUUGCUUAUGAAAAGAAGUUAAUAGUGGAAAUGGAUGAAUUCAAAGGAAAUUUGCUUUUUAUUUUGUUAAUCCUUUUAUCAUGAAAAUAUUAAUUAUUAUAAGAUGAUAUUAUAAAGAAGAUGAAUGAUAAUAUCCUUAAAAUUUUUGUUGAUAAUUAAUAUCCUUGAAGGUUACUAUAAAAUCCUUAAUUAAUUUUUAUCAUAAUUAUUAUAUUUUAAUUAUUGUGAUUAUUAUUAUUAUUAUUCAAAAAUUAAUUAUUCAUAACAAUUAUUGUUUAGUAUUAUUAUUAACAAUUUAACUAAAAAUUAUUAUUAAUUAUUGUUAAUAGAUUAAUUAAUUAUAAAUUUUUAUUAUUGUUAUUAAUAAUUAUUAUAAUAAUCCAUUUAAAAAUUAUAAUUAUAAUUAUAAUAAAAUAAUUAUUGUACUUGUAAUUAUAACUAUAAUCCAUUUAAUUAUAAUGAUAUUUUACUUAAAUGGAGGGUAUUUUGAGAAUUUAAAAAUUAUAGGGGAUGAAUUUAUACUCUAAAGGCUUCAAUGAAAUAAAAUAGAGUGCAAGAGUCUGAAUGAAAUUUUACAAUGCAGAAAGUUUCGUAAUACUUAUAUUUAUAAAUUUUCAAUAAUAUAAAGUACAAGGGCUCCACGAUAUUUUACGGCAACAAUUCAGAGAAGAGUAAAGCAGUUAGGGGUGUCAAAAAAACCCGCAAAACCCGGACUGCAUAUACAGAAAAGCGGAUCCGGGUUUCAGAAUUUAAAACCCGGACAUAUCCGGGCACGGUCCGGGUUCAGCACCAAAAACUUGGAACCCGGACCUGGACCUGUUUUCCCAAUUAAAAAAAAAAAAUCUAAAACCAGUUACCCAAACCCAAAACUCCCAAAUCCAAAAAUGUCAAAACACCCAAAUCCGAAAGUCCCUAAUUCCCCAAAUCGUAAAACACCCAAACCCAAAGGCAUAAGCAGCGACGCUGCCACCGUCACCGUCGGCUAGCACCCACCAUCAGUCUGUCACCUUCGCCCCUCGGCACUCGGCACUCGGCAUCAUCUCUUCUCGUUUGCAUUUGCUGACUCGGUUUUGCUCAGUUGCGGCUGUGACGGGAGUCGUUCGUGCAGCGGCAGCAGCGCAGUGCAGCCCCCUCCGGCGCCGUCAGCGUCAGUGCCACCGUCUCCAACUCUCCAUUGCCACUUUGUCAUCCACCAUCAGUCCAUCACUCUGCCAUCACAGCCACCACUACCAGCCGCAGGUAUUGAUUUUUUUCCUUCCAUAUUUUGUCUUCCCAGUUGCAUUUUUGCCGAUUGCUUCUCUGUUGGUGUUGGCUGUUUCUAUUCGUGUUUAUCUUCGGCCAAUUUUGUGCAUGGUUGCUGACUUGCUGUUGCUGUGAGGCUAAAUGGUUUUGACCGUAGAAUAUGAGGAAAAUAUGGCCAAUUUUGUGAGGGAUCCUUAUUGGCCUGCUCGUGUAAUAUACAAUAGCACUAUUGAAGUGGAUUUUUAAUCAAUGCUGACAGCAAAUUUUGUUAGUUAUAUCAGUCAUGACUAAGCUUAUUGUUUAAUUAAUUAAGUUGCUUGGUGCAUGCCACUUACCAUCUGCCACUUUGACAAUUAUUAGAUAACUUCUACCAAUCUGUUACAUCUUAAAUUCUUAAUCAAAUUUAUUUUCAAUUUAGGAUAGUUGUAUGACUUUGCUGAUUAAAAAGGAGCCAUCGUUUAUUUUCAAUUUAUUUUCAAUCUGUUACAUCUUAAUAAAAAUGAAAGAUUUUUUUUUUAAAUAAUUGUUUGCGGGCUUAGAAGCCCGGAAGACAAAACCCGGACCCGGGGCACGCCGGGCUCAAGCCCGGACCGGACAUGCAAAAACCGGGUUUUGUCCGGGUCCGGGUUUCAAUUUUUGGCAUCCGGUCCGGUCCCGGGUUGCACCAAACCCGGACCGGACCCGGGGUUUUGCCAAGCCUAAAAGCAGCUCCUGUAAGUUGCGUUAACUGUAACUCAGGGGAUCCGGAUAUAUAUUUCAUUUACUUUGUUUGUCACCUUUUAUUAUUGCUUGCUGCAACAAGCGCUAGUCUGAUCAGGGAUUCCAAAGUCUCGUUUUAAUUUCAUCUCAAUAAAUUAAAGCCAGGAUAUUAUUUAUUUAAAUACGCGGGAUUAAUAAAAUCUUUAAAUUAAAGCAAAUCGUGACAAUAUUGUGAUUGAAUGCGAGCAAUUUCAUUUCUUCAGGAAUAAGCACCACCCUAUUCCAUAAAGAACAAAAGGCAAUUUGACCAAAGAUAAAGACAUGCAUCGAUCAGUCGGCAUGCAGCCUGCAGGACGUAAAUAAUGGAUAAUAUUUUUAUAUACGAGCCUCAACUCGGAAGAGGCACCCACAGGCACAUAUGAUGAUAAAAAUUGGUCAAACUUAGAAAUUAUCCAAUGAUAGAUCCAAAUAUCUCCAAUCCACAAUAUUUUAAAACUCAUCAUGAUACGUAAAACCUCGAAUUUUAAUGACAAACAAAUCCAUAUAUCAAAUGAGCUUUGCUCUAGACAACCGAUGAAUGUUAGUCAAUCGGGUACGUGGUUUUGUAGACGUAGCUAAUUUGCUCAUGAUUAGUAGAAGAAAGCAGCAGCGACUGCAACACCAGCGACGAGGGCGGAGACUUUGAGGGAGCUUGCACCACUCCCUUCAGACUUGUUCUCAUCUCCCUCGCCCACUGGUCCUGGCAUUGCAACCUCAGGCAACUUAGCCUCGCCAGAGGGGCCUUCUGCAGGUCCAGGUCCAGCAGCUGGUCCACUGCUUGGGCCUCCUGCUGGGGCUUCUCCGGGUGCCGGUGCGGGUGCACCACCGGCUGGAGGUGCCUGUGUUGGUGCCUCACCGGGUGCCUGAUUUGGCUGCUGAGGCUGCUGGGGCUGCUGGGUAGGUGGCUGUGUCUGUGGCUGAUCAGGCUGCUGUGGUUGCUGGGCAGGUGGCUGUGUCUGUGGCUGAUCAGGCUGCUUGGGUUCCUGAGGCUGAUUAGGCUGCUGUGGCUGAUUGGGUUCCUGGGGUUGGUUAGGCUGAUUGGGUUCCUGCGGCUGAUUAGGCUGCUGGGGUUCAUUGGGUUGUGGCUGAAUAAUGGGUUCCUGCUGGGCUGAGGCCACACUGAUAAUGGCUACAAAAAUGAGAGCAAGAACAAUGACCAGGCGAGCCAUCAUGUCCGAUGGGGUUUGUGUUUUCGUCUUAUUAUUUUUAUUAUUUUUAAUUUUUUGUCCCCUUAUAUGCAAGGUUCUCUACUGAAUAUAGAGAACAAUGCAGAUCGUUCAAAUGCUGGGGAUGAUUUGAGGAAGAGAUUGUCGGGUUUAUUUAUGCUGAUGGGUUUGUCCUUGAUUAGGGGAAUUCAUCAUAUCUUGUGGUGGCACCCGUUGCUUUAUUUCCACAAACUCAGGAUAGCCAUUCUGAGCUGGUAAAUAGGAAUUAAUUUAACAAAUUGGGAAGAAGCUUUCUUUUGCCUAAUUUUAGUAAAAAUUAGGGUUCCAUUUCUUUGCCAAAUUCCAACCAAAUCGUCUUUGAUUUAACAUAAUUCUUGUUAUUUUGCUUCAGUUUUCUACGUUACCAAGUCUCUAUUUAAAUGAUUCAACUAUUUUUUUUUAAUGUGUAAACAUAUAAAUUCUAUGAUCUAAUAUUAUCUAUGUGAUUAUCUCCAUGUAAUAUUCAUUACCAAUCAUAUUUGCAGCAUGUCCCAAGAUUCCUACAGAAGCAGAGCUGCCAAUUCCUACAGCAUCAUUACUGUUAUUUUACAAGUUCAAGGCUCCAAGAAACUCCCUUUUAUGAUCCAAGCAUGCAUUUAGUGCGUUUUACACAUUUAACAUCGUCUCCUUCAGUGGAGUUGGUAGAGUUGCAUUAUUGAACGGAGUAGUAUAGGCUUGGCAAAAUCCGGGUCCGGUCCGGGUUUUGGUGUUGCCCGGGACCGGACCGGAUGAGAGAAAUGCAAACCCGGACCCGGGUUAAAACCCGGUUUUUCCGGGUGCGGUCCGGGCUUGAGCCCGGCACCUUCCGGGUCCGGGUUUUGAUCCGGGCUUUUUAAACCCGCAUGUGAUAAAUUUAAUUUUUUUUCAAUUUUUUUAUUUUUUUAAAAUUUAUUAAAAAACCGGGUCCGGUCCGGGUUCCGGGUUUUUUGUGUUGAACCCGGACCCGGGACCGGAAAUGUCCGGGUUUGAGAAUUUCAAACCCGGAUCCGGUUUUUAUAUGCAUGCGGUCCGGGUUUUGCCCGGACCGGAUUGGGCGGGUCCGGGCCGGGUCCGGUCCGGGCGGGCUUUUUUGACACCCCUAGAGUAGUAUAUUUCCAUUCGUCUUAUGGAAUGAGACGGAUAAAAAAGGACUGUAAUUAAUGUAAGACAAAAUUAAUAUUCAUCUGAAUAAGUUCUUAUGGUGUGUUUGGGAAAUUGGAAUUGAGGAAUAAGAAUGAAACUUAUGUUUAUUUGACAAAAUGUAAUUUGGGAAUGAGAAUAAAAUAUAUGGGUCCUACACAAUUUGGGAAUAAGGAAUGAGAAUCUCAUUCUCAUGGGGGAUUGAGAAUGAAAAUGUGUAAAUGGGAAUGAAACAUAAAUUUAUUUUUCUAUCCUUCUAAUUUUUUCAUAUUUCCUAAAUUACCCUUAUUCAAAUCACAAAUAAUUUUAUUAUUUUAAAUGUCAUUAAUAAUAAUAAUAAUUAUUAUUAUUAAAUUUUAGUAACUUUAUUAUUUUAGUUAUUAUUAUUAUUAUUAUCAUUAAUAUUAUCAUUAUUUACAAUAAAAAUAAUGAUAAAAAUAAUAAUUAAUAAAAACUGCUGUACCGNNNNNNNNNNNNNNNNNNNNNNNNNNNNNNNNNNNNNNNNNNNNNNNNNNNNNNNNNNNNNNNNNNNNNNNNNNNNNNNNNNNNNNNNNNNNNNNNNNNNNNNNNNNNNNNNNNNNNNNNNNNNNNNNNNNNNNNNNNNNNNNNNNNNNNNNNNNNNNNNNNNNNNNNNNNNNNNNNNNNNNNNNNNNNNNNNNNNNNNNNNNNNNNNNNNNNNNNNNNNNNNNNNNNNNNNNNNNNNNNNNNNNNNNNNNNNNNNNNNNNNNNNNNNNNNNNNNNNNNNNNNNNNNNNNNNNNNNNNNNNNNNNNNNNNNNNNNNNNNNNNNNNNNNNNCCGUACAGCAGAUAAUAAAGUUAAUAAAAUUUAAUAAUCAUAAUAAUAAAUGUUAAUAAUGAUAGUAUUAAUAAAAAUAAUAAUAAAAAUAAUUAAUAAUAACUAAAAUAAUAAAGUUAAUAAAAUUUAAUAAUAAUAAUAAUAAUAAAUGUUAAUAAUGAUAAUAUUAAUAAAAAUAAUAUUAACAAUAAUUAAUAAUAACUAAAAUAAUAAUGAUAAUAUUGUUAAUAAUGAUAAAUUAAUUAUUUUUAUUAAUUAUUAAUACUAUGGGUAUUUUGGUAAAUUGAUUCUCAUUCCUCAUUCCCAUUUAUUUUGUCAAGUAAACACAUCAAUGACAUUCUAGUACAUUCUCAUUCUCAUUUAUUUUUGUCAAGUAAACAUUGAAAUCUCAUUCUCAUUCUCAUUCCACCUCAUUCUCAUUCUCAUGAGGUAAACGCACCAUUAGUGUCAAAAACUUACAAAUGUUUGUUCUUUAUUCCUUCAUUUUUAGUUUUUAUGAGUAGAGAUUAAAUAUUCAUAAUUGUAUGCAUAAAGCUUAAGAUUGAGGACAUAAACAUUUAUGAAAUUUUAAAUCAAGUUUACCCUCCCGCCAAUAUUAACUUUAAGAACAUAUGAUUUUAUGUAUGUGUGCUCUUAUAUGUAUGCAUAAUGUCAAGCUAUUGCGCACUUAGCAAUUUUGAGGAAAAGAAACAUAGUUUUGUGAGAAAAAUAUUUUCAUUGGUGUGAAGAGGGUGUGUUAAGUAUAAAUUUAUAUUAAAAUUUUAAUAAAAGGUGUUCAAAAUAUUUUAUAGGGUACAAAUAGUCAUACUUUUUAACUAAUGACAUUAUAUUGCAUAUAAGUAACAAUCACAUUACUAAGACAUAUACAAAAAAGUUAUCUCCACGUGUAGGAGUAUUAAAUUUAGUUAUCUCCAUGUGUAGAAGUAGGGGUGUACAUGGGUUGGUUUGGGUUGGAUUUUAAGUCAAACCAAACCAAACUAUAAAAAUUUGGAUCCAACCCAAACCAACCCAAAUAUUUUUAACCCAAUCCAAACCAACCCAUUUGGGUUUGGUUUGAAUUUUAUUAUCAAAAUAAUUUUUAUUUUAAUAAAAUUUAAUUAUAUCAAAAUUAUAAUAAUUAUUAAUUGUUAUUAAUUAUUAAAUUGAUAUUAAAAUAUAAAAAAUAUAUAGUGGAUAAAAAUUAUAAAUUUUACAAUAACUUAAUCCUCAAAUUAAAGAAUACUAGAAAAUCAAAAUAAAGUUUAAUCGCAAAAAUUAUUAUUUCUCAAUAAAGAAGAACAUACACUUUAAUAAUAAACUUUCACAAACAUGACAUAACAAUCUAAUAAUAAAUUUUGCCACUUGUUAUUUAUUUAAUUAUGCAAUAUUUAUUUUUAUUUAUCGUUUUGGUAGUUUUGCGUUAUGUUGUCUACUUAUAUGUUUAAUUUUAUUUACACUCUGAUAUUAUAUAGUGUGUAUGCUUUAUGUUCUAAUUUCAUCAUAUGGUAAGCAAAGUUUUGUACAGGGCCUAAUAUGGGCAUUACAUUCAAUUAUUGACAAAAAAUUAGCCACCAUCUAGCAUAUCAGACCCAGUCUAAGUCGAGUUAUUAUUGAUCACUAGUAGAGUCUUAUGCUCUUUCUAUGACGAUCCUUCCAUGUGGGAGAAAUUAUUUUUGUAAAUAAGAAAAAAAUUUAUGUUAUUUACAACAAUAUUUAUUUAAUUUAAAUUUAUUUUUACAUGUUAUUUUUAUUUUCUAACUGUUGACAAUUGAUCAUGCCGUAAAAAACUUAAUGGUGGCCUUUCACUUAUUUGUGUUCAUUUAUUUUGUUUUCAUUUAUUUCAUUUGAAAAAUUUGAGUGUUGGGGUUUUGUCCAUGACCUAUGGGUAAACCAUACCCAACUCAUAAUGAAAUGAUUUUCUAUAUAAAACUCACAUUUAACCCAUUUUCAUGAUUUACCCAACCCAAACCAUUUAAUUUGGUUUGGGUUUGGGUAAACCCAUGGGUUGUGGGUUUAUGCCCACCCCUAUGUAGAAGUAUUAAAUUAAAAUAAUAAUACAUUGAAUCAUAUAAACCAUGACAAUUUGUUUUUCCUUAUAUGAGCUUAACCAUUGUUUUCUUUAGUUAGCCACUUGAAUUAAAUUGUAGGGAAGGUAUGGGAUGAAAAUAUUAAUGACCAUUAACUAAGCUAAUGCUUAGUUAAUUGCAAUUUCUAAAAUAAUAAUAAUAAUAAUAAUUAGUUAAUGGGAUAAUAUUUAAUUUUAUAAUAUUAAUAGUAUUAAGCAUCAUAAAAUUUUAUGUUAAGUGAUGUGUUAUCAAUCAAGUAAAUGAUAUAAUAAUACAUAUAAAAAUAUAUGAUCUAGUAACUUUAUGCAACACAUUAUUUCAGUUGAAAUGUUAAGAUGUAAAAUGUCUAUGGUUAUUAAUAAUAGGUAUUCCAAAUUUUUAUUUUAAUAUGUCAUAAAAUAUUUCAUUUUGAGGAAAUUAUAUGAUAGUAAAAUGUAUAAUAACACAAAUGACAAAUAUGAAAAUAGCAUGAAAUUUAGUUCAGUGAAAACUCUCCACUAUAAACUCUUGGAAAUUACGAGAAGGCUGGUUAAAAAUUUAUUUAACUAAAUAUUAAAUCUAUAGAGACUUAAGAUAUCACGUAUUUGGCCAUUCGGCAGACUGGGAAAGACGAAACCUGAAUCAAAUCCAUAAGGGUUUCACUGUACAACCAGCGCAGAAAACAGAGUUACAAACAGAAAUCAAAGAACAAGAGAAAGGUGAAUACAAUUUGCUCAAGCGCUGUUAGUUUUUUAAGCUAAAGGGUUAAUAAAACACACAUCUUCAGAGGGGAUAAGAGUAAGGGUACCUAAAUAAAACCCGAUUCGAUUCUGCGUUUUGUUAAUUUUUUUUUUUCUUAUCCGAUGUUUUUCAGUGUCGUUUUAGUGAAAUGUAUAUGUAAUUUUUUGUUUACUGGAUGAUGUAAUUUGACAGGUUUUUAAGGAUUUGUGUCCUUUUGACUUCAUGAAGUGGGUGUUGGAGAGUUGUCCUUUUUAUGUUAUUUUUGCACUUGUGGGUAGGGUUUCUGUGUAAUUCAUGUAAUUUUACCAGGCGGGUGUUGCAGAUUUGUGCUUUUUUUUUUUGUUAUAGGAUGGAUGGUGAAGUGUUUCUUAUUAAUGUUAUAGGAUGGACGGUGAAGUGUUUCUUAUGGUUCUUAAAUGUAUUCCUUGGUCGGUGAUGGAUCUUUUGUAUUAAUAAGUGUUGAUUAUGUGUUUAUACAUAUGAAUCACAUUCUGCUUAAAUUUGAGCUAUGUUGGUCUUUAAUAUUGGUGAUCUUUGGCUCUAAAACCUGUUGAUGUAGAGAAGCAGAACAAUUUUGAGUGGUCUUUUAUCUUUGUUCAUAGUUCUGCAUGGGAGGAAUGGAGAUAAUAUUUCUUUAUUUUGAUGUAACUUGGUCAGCUUAAAUGGAUUCGAUGGCUGAAGAACAAAUAGAUUAUGAGGAGGAGGAGUAUGGAGGGGCUCAAAAGAUGCAGUAUCAGGGAGGUGGAGCUAUACCUGCUCUUGCAGAUGAAGAGUUGAUGGGAGAAGAUGAUGAGUAUGAUGAUCUAUAUAAUGAUGUUAAUGUCGGAGAUGGUUUAUUGCAGUUUCAGCAGCCUGAGGCACCUCCCCCAUCCGCUGGUGUGGGCAAUGGAAGACUUCAAGUUAAGAAAACUGAUGUUCCCGAGCAACAAGUUCAAGCUGGGGUCUCACAAGGGUCAAACGUCCCUGGGGUUUCUGUUGAAGGAAAGUACACCAAUGCUGGGACCCACUUUCCUGCUCAAAAUGAUGUGCAGGUUGCUGUCAACAGACCAAACAUGGGAUCUGGUAAUUACCCAGAUGGAGCUUCUGUUUCACAAAAAGGGAGUGUCCAAGAGACAACUCAUGAUGCCCAUGUUAGAAAUAUGGGUUUUCAAGGGUCUACGUCAGGUCCCUCAAGAACUGGAGUUGAUCCUUCUAAUAUGCCGGGAAGAGUAGCCAAUGAGCCUGCACCUGUGCUAAAUCCCGGUGCUGCUGGUCCUCAAGGUGCUCUGAUUCCAGCUAAUCAAAUGGGUGUGAAUAUAAAUGUCAAUCGUGCAAUGGUGAAUGAGAAUCAAAUCCGGCCUCCUCUAGAGAAUGGUGGGACAAUGCUGUUUGUGGGAGAAUUACAUUGGUGGACAACUGAUGCAGAGCUUGAAAGUGUUUUGUCUCAGUAUGGAAGGGUCAAGGAGAUUAAGUUUUUUGAUGAGAGAGCUAGUGGUAAAUCCAAAGGUUAUUGCCAAGUCGAAUUCUUUGAUGCAGCUGCUGCAGCUGCGUGCAAAGAUGGAAUGAAUGGUCAUGUUUUCAAUGGACGACCAUGUGUUGUGGCUUUUGCUUCUCCUCAAACAUUGAAACAGAUGGGAGCUUCUUACAUGAACAAAAACCAAGGCCAGCCUCAAUCACAGACUCAGGGAAGGAGACCUAUGAACGACGGUGGUGGGAGAGGUGGUAACAUGAAUUAUCAGAGUGGUGAUGGAGGUAGGAAUUUUGGAAGGGGUGGCUGGGGACGAGGUGGGCAGGGUGUACCCAACAGAGGUCCUGGUGGUGGAGCGAUGAGGGGAAGAGGGCCCAUGGGUGCAAGGAACAUGAUUGGGAGUAGUUCUGGAGCUGGAAGCGGUGUUGGACAUGCUGCUGGUGGAGGUUAUGGACAAGGCCUUGCAGGUCCUGGCUUUGGGGGUCCUGCGGGUGGUAUGAUGCAUCCACAGAAUAUGAUGGGAGGGUUUGAUCCAACAUACAUGGGUCGAGGAGGUGGUUAUGGAGGUUUUUCGGGUCCAGGUUUUCCUGGUAUGCUUCCUUCAUUUCCUGCUGUUAAUGCAAUGGGCCUUGCUGGGGUGGCUCCUCAUGUCAACCCAGCAUUCUUUAACCGAGGAAUGGCAGCUAAUGGGAUGGGUAUGAUGGGUUCUUCUGGAAUGGAUGGACCGCAUCCAGGGAUGUGGACUGACUCAAGCAUGGGUGGAUGGUUGGGAGAGGAACAUGGACGAAGGACAAGGGAGUCAAGUUAUGGUGGUGAUGAUGGUGCUUCUGAUUAUGGGUAUGGGGAGGCAAAUCAUGAAAAAGGAGCAAGGUCAACUGCUGCCUCCCGGGAAAAGGAUCGUGGUUCUGAGCGUGACUGGUCUGGGAACACAGAUAGGAGGCACCGAGAGGAGAGGGAACAAGACUGGGACAGAUCUGAAAGGGAUCACAGAGAUCACAGACACAGGGAAGAAAAAGAUAGUUAUCGUGAUCGUCGACAAAGAGAUCGUGACUCAACUUAUGAUGACAACUGGGACAGGGGGCCGUCGUCUUCCAGAUCUCGGAGCAGGUCCCGAGCAAUCCCGGAUGAAGACCACAGAUCUCGAUCGAGAGAUGUGGACUAUGGGAAGAGGAGACGGCUACCAUCAGAGUGACAGAGUCACGCUGUUCAUUCUUCAGUGGCAUGUCAUACAAGACCUCAUAUUCUCUAUAUCUUACUGUAUUGCUCUUGGGUUGCUGCAAUGCUUCUACCUAUCGCUUUUCCUGGUUACUGUGGCCUAAAUGCAGAGGGGUUUCUUGAGGGAAAAGUAAGUUCUCAUAUUUGUAGAAGGGAAGAAUGGAUUCUGUGUUCUUUCGUUCUGCAUUCUAUAAACGUUACCGCCAACACUUAUUUGUUUGUUAAAAAAUGAUGAGUGACUUUGAGUUGCAUGCCAAUGGGGAUAUUCUAUCUAGGGUUGGACUCUUGAUAUCCUUGCCGUGUAUCCCAUUGGCUUUAUAUUUAUUCUACUGAAUCUAUUUCUGAGACAAUGGUUUUGGGGCUUCUGAUCACAUGUUACAAAGCCUACUCUAAUUCUAUGAUAGUUUGAAUUAGUUGUCCA
rnacentral:lncRNA from 1 species